GACGAACGCUGGCGGCGUGCUUAACACAUGCAAGUCGAACGGGAAGGCCCUGCUUGCCGGGUCCUCGAGUGGCGAACGGGCGCGUAACACGGGGGUGAUUUGCCCUCCACUUUGGGAUAAGCUUGGAAAACUGGGUCUUAUCCCGGAUAGGAACUACCAUUAACGUGGUGGUUGGAAAGAUCUUUCGGUGUAGGAUGAGUUCGCGGCCUAUCAGCUUGUUGGUGGGGUAAUGGCCUACCAAGGCAGCGACGGGUAGCUGGCUUGACAGAGUGUACGGACACACUGGACUUGAAAGCCGGCCCAGACUCGUACGUGGGGCACCAGUGGAGCAUAUAGCACAAUGCGCGCAAGCAUGAUGCAGCGACGCCGCGUGGGUGUAGAAUCCCUUCGGGGUGUAAUCUCCGCUCGCUAGGGAUAAAGCUUUGUUGUGACGGUACCUAGAUAAGAAGCACCGGCUAACUACGUG
rnacentral:rRNA from 1 species